rnacentral:rRNA from 1 species
GGAUUAGAUACCCUGGUAGUCCACGCCCUAAACGAUGUCUACUAGUUGUCGGGUCUUAAUUGACUUGGUAACGCAGCUAACGCGUGAAGUAGACCGCCUGGGGAGUACGGUCGCAAGAUUAAAACUCAAAGGAAUUGACGGGGACCCGCACAAGCGGUGGAUGAUGUGGAUUAAUUCGAUGCAACGCGAAAAACCUUACCUACCCUUGACAUGUACGGAAUCCUGAAGAGAUUUAGGAGUGCUCGAAAGAGAACCGUAACACAGGUGCUGCAUGGCUGUCGUCAGCUCGUGUCGUGAGAUGUUGGGUUAAGUCCCGCAACGAGCGCAACCCUUGUCAUUAGUUGCUACGAAAGGGCACUCUAAUGAGACUGCCGGUGACAAACCGGAGGAAGGUGGGGAUGACGUCAAGUCCUCAUGGCCCUUAUGGGUAGGGCUUCACACGUCAUACAAUGGUACAUACAGAGGGCCGCCAACCCGCGAGGGGGAGCUAAUCCCAGAAAGUGUAUCGUAGUCCGGAUUGGAGUCUGCAACUCGACUCCAUGAAGUUGGAAUCGCUAGUAAUCGCGGAUCAGCAUGUCGCGGUGAAUACGUUCCCGGGUCUUGUACACACCGCCCGUCACACCAUGGGAGCGGGUUCUGCCAGAAGUAGUUAGCCUAACCGUAAGGAGGGCGAUUACCACGGCAGGGUUCGUGACUGGGGUGAAGUCGUUAACAAGGUAGCC